rnacentral:rRNA from 1 species
CAGCUAGCUUAUCCACCAAUAUAACCAAAUAAUAUAAAUAAAAUAGAAUAGACCAAAUAUCAAAAACUAAACCAUUCUUUUACCUGAGUAUGGGAGACAGAAAAGGUUCAACCAAAGCAAUAGAAACAGUACCGCAAGGGAAAGCUGAAAGAGAAAUGAAAUAACCCAUAUAAGUAUCAAAAAGCAAAGACUAAACCUUGUACCUUUUGCAUCAUGAUUUAGCCAGUAAACACAAGCAAAGAGACCUUUAGUUUGAAACCCCGAAACCAGGUGAGCUACCCCGAGACAGCCUAUUAAGGGCCAACCCGUCUCUGUGGCAAAAGAGUGGGAAGAGCUCCGGGUAGAAGUGACAGACCUACCGAACCUGGUGAUAGCUGGUUGCCUAAGAAAUGGAUAGAAGUUCAGCCUCGUAUGCCUCAAAUCAAACAAGCACUAACCAAGACACCAAGAGAAAAACACGAGAGUUAGUUAAAGGGGGUACAGCCCCUUCAACAAAGGAUACAACCUUACCCAGGAGGAUAAAGAUCAUAUUGUACAAAACAUACUGUUCUAGUGGGCCUAAAAGCAGCCACCUAAACAGAAAGCGUUAAAGCUCAGACAGAAAAAAGUUUAUUAUUCUGAUAAAAAAUCUUACUCCCCUAAAUACUAUUAGGCUAAUCCAUGCCCCCAUGGAAGAAAUUAUGCUAAAAUGAGUAACAAGAAGGCCCGCCCUUCUCCAAGCACAAGUGUAAGCCAAACCGGACCAACCAUUGGCAACUAACGAACUCAACCCAAGAGAGCAAUGUGAAUCACAAAAAAAACAAGAAAACCCCACAACCCAAUCGAUCGUUAACCCCACACUGGAGUGCUAUUAAAGGAAAGACUAAAAGAAAAGGAAGGAACUCGGCAAACACAAGCCUCGCCUGUUUACCAAAAACAUCGCCUCCUGCAACGCAACCAUGUAUAGGAGGUCCAGCCUGCCCAGUGACUACAAGUUCAACGGCCGCGGUAUUUUGACCGUGCAAAGGUAGCGCAAUCACUUGUCUUUUAAAUAGAGACCUGUAUGAAUGGCUAAACGAGGGCUUAACUGUCUCCCCUUUCAAGUCAGUGAAAUUGAUCUGCCCGUGCAGAAGCG